rnacentral:rRNA from 1 species
CGAAGAACCUUACCAGGAAUUGACUAUCCCUGACAACUUAUGAAAGUAGGUCUUCUACCUUCGGGUAGACAGGGAGACAGGUGGUGCAUGGUUGUCGUCAGCUCGUGUCGUGAGAUGUUGGGUUAAGUCCCGCAACGAGCGCAACCCUUACGGUUAGUUGCCAGCGGUUAAAGCCGGGCACUCUAGCUGAACUGCCGUUGACAAACGGAGGAAGGUGGGGAUGACGUCAAAUCAUCAUGCCCUUUAUAUCCUGGGCUACACACGUGCUACAAUGGCCUGUACAGAGGGCAGCGAAGGGGCAACCUGGAGCGAAUCCCAAAAAGCAGGUCUCAGUUCGGAUUGCAGGCUGCAACUCGCCUGCAUGAAGUCGGAAUCGCUAGUAAUCGCAGGUCAGCAUACUGCGGUGAAUACGUUCCCGGGCCUU